rnacentral:rRNA from 1 species
AUUGAACGCUGGCGGCAGGCCUAACACAUGCAAGUCGAACGGUAACAGGAAGCAGCUUGCUGCUUCGCUGACGAGUGGCGGACGGGUGAGUAAUGUCUGGGAAGCUGCCUGAUGGAGGGGGAUAACUACUGGAAACGGUAGCUAAUACCGCAUAAUGUCGCAAGACCAAAGAGGGGGACCUUCGGGCCUCUUGCCAUCGGAUGUGCCCAGAUGGGAUUAGCUUGUUGGUGGGGUAACGGCUCACCAAGGCGACGAUCCCUAGCUGGUCUGAGAGGAUGACCAGCCACACUGGAACUGAGACACGGUCCAGACUCCCACGGGAGGCAGCAGUGGGGAAUAUUGCACAAUGGGCGCAAGCCUGAUGCAGCCAUGCCGCGUGUAUGAAGAAGGCCUUCGGGUUGUAAAGUACUUUCAGCGGGGAGGAAGGGAGUAAAGUUAAUACCUUUGCUCAUUGACGUUACCCGCAGAAGAAGCACCGGCUAACUCCGUG